rnacentral:rRNA from 1 species
AGUGAACGCUGGCGGUAGGCCUAACACAUGCAAGUCGAACGGCAGCACAGUAAGAGCUUGCUCUUACGGGUGGCGAGUGGCGGACGGGUGAGGAAUACAUCGGAAUCUACUUUUUCGUGGGGGAUAACGUAGGGAAACUUACGCUAAUACCGCAUACGACCUACGGGUGAAAGCAGGGGAUCUUCGGACCUUGCGCGAUUGAAUGAGCCGAUGUCGGAUUAGCUAGUUGGCGGGGUAAAGGCCCACCAAGGCGACGAGCCGUAGCUGGUCUGAGAGGAUGAUCAGCCACACUGGAACUGAGACACGGUCCAGACUCCUACGGGAGGCAGCAGUGGGAAAUAUUGGACAAUGGGCGCAAGCCUGAUCCAGCCAGACCGCGUGGGUGAAGAAGGCCUUCGAGUUGUAAAGCCCUUUUGUUGGGAAAGAAAAGCAGCAGGUUAAUACCCCGCUGUUCUGACGGUACCCAAAGAAUAAGCACCGGCUAACUUCGU